rnacentral:tRNA from 1 species
CGUAGCGGUAGUGCAUGGUGGCACCCGGACGGGCAUCCCGCAUGAUCGCCAGGUUGAUCAGCAGGGCGCUCUGGUCGCCCGGCUGCAGC